rnacentral:tRNA from 1 species
CAUUGAGUGAUGUAAUGGUCUGAGUGUUGGACUAUGACUCUAGAGACCGGGGUUUGAUUCCCUGCUUGGCCA